GAUGAACGCUGGCGGCGUGCUUAAUACAUGCAAGUCGAACGAGGGUUUCAGCAAUGGGAUCCGAGUGGCGAACGGGUGAGUAACGCGUUGGUGACCUGCCCCGAAGAGAGGGAUAACAGACCGAAAGGUUUGCUAAUACCUCAUGUGGUCAUAAGGGUUAGAGGCCUUAUGUCUAAAGGAGUAAUCCGCUUCGGGAGGGGCCUGCGUCCCAUCAGCUAGUUGGUAGGGUAAUGGCCUACCAAGGCGACGACGGGUAGGGGACCUGAGAGGGUGGCCCCCCACACUGGCACUGAAACACGGGCCAGACACCUACGGGUGGCAG
rnacentral:rRNA from 1 species